ensembl:lncRNA
UUAUUUUUUUCCCUUUGGUGUGGUUUGGUUUUUUUUUCCUUUAGCCUCAAUACAGGCAAGGUCCUUCUCAAACAUGAAAGAAGGCUCUGUCUGAGAAAUUCAUUAGCCAAAUUAGAGAUAAAAUAAUGAGGGGGUGAGAAGGAGGCAGCAAGGGAUGGGGGUGGGAGGGCAAAUGUGGACAAGGAUAGCAGGAGAGAGUUCUCUGCUAGGGUAGCUGAUUAAAACAAUGGUACAGUACCUUGACUAAUGUGAAGCUAAUUAAAACUGUAUAGGACAAAGCACUUCUAAAUAUACUAUAGGGAUCAAUCUUGCUAUGGCAAAUCCAUCCCCAGUGAAAUUUCAUUGACUUCAAUGGGUUUUCUUCUGGGAUGAAUUUGGACUGAUAACUUAAUAAUUCUUUUCUGUCUUUAAUUUCUAAGGACUUUUUGUCAGAAGCACGGCAAGGAACUUCAGUUUGGCUUUCAAAAGUGCUGAACACCCAAAACUCCUACCAAGGCUUCCUGGAAUUACAGGAGAUGACCUGUGCAAAUUGCAUCCAAGUGCCCAGUGAUUGACCUACAAAGGGGUGCAAUGUUUAGAAAAGUGGG